GCCUUGGUCGAUUAUUGGAAAUCACCCCAGCUCAAUGCACAAAUGAAACCCUGCCGGUUGAUGGAGUUACGCAGGUUCGAUUCCUGCCCAAGGCA